GAGGGUGUAGCUCAGUGGUAGAGCACAGGCUUAGCAUGCACAAGGUCCUGGGUUCAACCCCCAAUACCUCCA
rnacentral:tRNA from 1 species